GCAGCCUGUUGGCGGCAGCUCAGGAGGAGGGACUCGAAACCUACUGUGACCUAUUGUACGAGAGGAAAGGUGAUCCGCCCCACCCUUCAUCAAUAACCCACGGGCAAAGGUAGCAGAGACCUGAAGUAGUCGGAGGAGAUGGACUUUGGGGGCGAGAUAUUUGCAAAGCAUGUAUCACUUGGAUAUCUCUUCUCUGAACAAGUCCCCAGGAGGAGAAAAAGAAUAUUUCCUGGAAGAAAUGAAAGGCUGUCAUUUGUCAAAAAGAGUCCAAUUUGCAAUAUUAUGUCAGCUUGAGGUUCUCCCUAGAGGGCCUUUCCAUGGGAUCCACCUUCUACUCAGGUAGUAAGAAGGUAGAUGUCUACUUCACAUCUUCUGCCACUUCUUAGAGGUCUUCUCAGGAGUCCAGAUCAUUUUAGACUGAACAAAAUGAAGGAGUGGACUGGAUUGGGAGGAGAUGGACCUUAGAAAACAGAUACUUUCCUAAGUAGCAGAGCCAAUGCUACUUGUGUCCUAGAGCAUUUUAUUUCCUCUUGACACUCAGGAAGGUUUCAUUUUUAAAUGAGGCCAGCUACUAGUUCACUAGUUCUAGCCAGCGAUGAGGACAGAAGUAAUGAGUGCCACUUCUUGACCAGCCCCAGAAAACUCCUGACUGCUACCUCACCUACUCAUUGCAUCCCUCAUCUACUGGCUAUCUGGACACAAAGGAAGCAGUUAAGGAUUUCAAGUUCCUAGAAAAUGGAGAAGGUCACUGGAUGGAAGAAGUAGGCCCCUGAAUCACCAUAUAGUACACUACUGAACACACAAACUGGUGUAAAUUAGAAAGAAACCAUUCUUGGGGCUGGGGAUAUAGCUCAUUUGGUAGAGUGCUUGCUUCACAUGCACAAGGCAAGGCCCUGGGUUCAAUCCCCGGCACAAAAACAACAACAAAAAAAUUCUUAUGUUAAGCUACUGAGAUUUGGGGUUGACAGCAGUUGGGCCUACCCUGGCAUUAAUCAGUGGGAUGGUAGACACAGCAACAGAUAGAAACAGAAAGUCCAUGUAGGAAAAUGAAGUACAGUAACCAUAGAUGAGACAGACAAAUAAAAAUUCAGAACCCAGAAUUCAAGGUCUCUAAGGGGAUAUCAGUAGCCAUAGACAUUGACUGAGCAUGACAAUGAGUAAUCUUGAGAUGCAAGGACUGGAGCUCUCACUGGAUUCCAACUCAGGGUGCACAGUUUGCACAGUGAAGGCAGAGAAGGCCUCUGCUCCAAAGGAAACAAUAGGAACAUUUAGAAAGGAAUUUGGUAGAGUUUUAAGCAAAGGAUAAAACAUAGUCUGGCAACUCAGGCCAGGCACAGGCAGAGGCUUGGAUUCAGGGGAGUACACAAGAACUUCUUUCCUAGCCAAGGGAUCAUAUCAGGGGAACAAAAGGAAACAGCAUGAUGAUGUGAUGUCAAUCCUCUGGGGAAGUAAUGCUCAAGAAGCAGUUGGAUAGAUUGGACAUAUAAAUGGGCAGAAAGUGGCCUUGACAACCAGAGUCACAGGACACAAUCCUUGGAGCAAAGCCAAUCAGCAAGUGUGAUCAGGAAACCAGAGCUCAAGAGAGGAAGGAAGAAAAAUAAACACCCAACAGGAAGGAUAAAGGUGAAAACUAGCGAUCCAAGUACAGUGAUGUCUUUCUGCCAGACACGGUACAUUCCUACACUUGGGAAGGCCCUGCAGAUAUUGAUGAAGGACCCCUGGCAUUCUGAAAGCCACAGACACAUACAUCUUCAAGUUUGAAAGAAGCUUUGGUGCCUGUCCUCUGAAAUGAGAGUGUUGUUCAUUUAGGAUUUAUGACACUGAGGAAGACAAUUUAUCUAAAUGACUACACAGAACAUUAAUGGGAAACUUCAGUGUUUGCAAUGCAGUGGAAGCCAGGAGACAGGAAGCUUUACGUGGGAACCCGGGCAAACCAGGUUUGCACAAACUUCCAGACUCUGUGGAUGCAGCAACCAUGGAACAAUCAUUUAGUUGGACUAUUUGUGUUGGGGGCGUGGGGGAAUGGAUAAUGAAUUGUCUUUAAAGACAAAGCAGAUAUGUUUAGUGUUCAGAGAUUUUCAAUUAAAAAUGAACAUUUCAAGUCAGGAGAGGUGGCGCAUACCUAUAAUCCCAGCAGCUCAGGAGACUGAGG